UUUUAUGGAGAGUUUGAUCCUGGCUCAGAGUGAACGCUGGCGGCGUGCCUAAUACAUGCAAGUCGAACGAUGAAGCUUUUAGCUUGCUAGAAGUGGAUUAGUGGCGCACGGGUGAGUAAUGCAUAGGUUAUGUGCCCUUUAGUCUGGGAUAGCCACUGGAAACGGUGAUUAAUACUGGAUACUCCCUACGGGGGAAAGGGACUCUUAAAUAUGCUCCUAGAGUAUUUUUAAAACAAGAAGUCGCGUGAGUGAAAAGGAAAAUUGUAGAAGGCUUAUAAAAAUAAGUCAAAACAAUUUGACGCAUUCAAACACGAUGAAUUUUUUGAAUUUAAAGAUAUUCUAGGGGUAUAUUUAAGAGUCUCCGCUAAAGGAUCAGCCUAUGUCCUAUCAGCUUGUUGGUGAGGUAAUGGCUCACCAAGGCUAUGACGGGUAUCCGGCCUGAGAGGGUGAUCGGACACACUGGAACUGAGACACGGUCCAGACUCCUACGGGAGGCAGCAGUAGGGAAUAUUGCUCAAUGGGGGAAACCCUGAAGCAGCAACGCCGCGUGGAGGAUGAAGGUUUUAGGAUUGUAAACUCCUUUUGUGAGAGAAGAUUAUGACGGUAUCUCACGAAUAAGCACCGGCUAACUCCGUGCCAGCAGCCGCGGUAAUACGGAGGGUGCAAGCGUUACUCGGAAUCACUGGGCGUAAAGAGUGCGCAGGCGGGGUGGUAAGUCAGAUGUGAAAUCCUGUAGCUUAACUACAGAACUGCAUUUGAAACUAUCACUCUAGAGUAUGGGAGAGGUAGGUGGAAUUCUUGGUGUAGGGGUAAAAUCCGUAGAGAUCAAGAGGAAUACUCAUUGCGAAGGCGACCUACUGGAACAUUACUGACGCUCAUGCACGAAAGCGUGGGGAGCAAACAGGAUUAGAUACCCUGGUAGUCCACGCCCUAAACGAUGAAUGCUAGUUGUUGCCCUGCUUGUCAGGGCAGUAAUGCAGCUAACGCAUUAAGCAUUCCGCCUGGGGAGUACGGUCGCAAGAUUAAAACUCAAAGGAAUAGACGGGGACCCGCACAAGCGGUGGAGCAUGUGGUUUAAUUCGAGGAUACGCGAAGAACCUUACCUAGGCUUGACAUUGAUAGAAUCCGCUAGAGAUAGUGGAGUGCUGGCUUGCCAGAGCUUGAAAACAGGUGCUGCACGGCUGUCGUCAGCUCGUGUCGUGAGAUGUUGGGUUAAGUCCCGCAACGAGCGCAACCCUCGUCCUUAGUUGCUAGCAGCUCGGCUGAGCACUCUAAGGAGACUGCCUUCGUAAGGAGGAGGAAGGUGAGGACGACGUCAAGUCAUCAUGGCCCUUACGCCUAGGGCUACACACGUGCUACAAUGGGGCAUACAAUGAGGAGCAAUACCGCGAGGUGGAGCAAAUCUCUAAAAUGUCUCUCAGUUCGGAUUGUAGUCUGCAACUCGACUACAUGAAGCUGGAAUCGCUAGUAAUCGCAAAUCAGCAAUGUUGCGGUGAAUACGUUCCCGGGUCUUGUACUCACCGCCCGUCACACCAUGGGAGUUGUAUUCGCCUUAAGUCGGGAUACUAAAUUGGUUACCGCCCACGGCGGAUGCAGCGACUGGGGUGAAGUCGUAACAAGGUAACCGUAGGUGAACCUGCGGUUGGAUCACCUCCUUUCUA
rnacentral:rRNA from 1 species